UACAGAGGCCCCAAGCGUUACUGAGAAUCACUGGGUUUAAAGGGUGCGUAGGUGGUCCGUUAAGUUCGUUGUGAAAUCCCUGGGCUCAACCCAGGAAAUGCUUCGAAUACUGGCGGACUUGAGGCUAGUAGAGGUCACUGGAACUGACGGUGGAGCGGUGAAAUGCGUAGAUAUCGUCAGGAACGCCGAUGGUGAAGACAGGUGACUGGGCUAGUUCUGACACUGAGGCACGAAAGCGUGGGGAGCGAUCGGG
rnacentral:rRNA from 1 species